UACGGAGGAUGCGAGCGUUAUCCGGAUUUAUUGGGUUUAAAGGGUGCGUAGGCGGGAUGCCAAGUCAGCGGUAAAAAUGCGGUGCUCAACGCCGUCGAGCCGUUGAAACUGGCGUUCUUGAGUGGGCGGGAAGUAUGCGGAAUGCGUGGUGUAGCGGUGAAAUGCAUAGAUAUCACGCAGAACUCCGAUUGCGAAGGCAGCAUACCGGCGCCCUACUGACGCUCAGGCACGAAAGCGUGGGUAUCGAACAGG
rnacentral:rRNA from 1 species